UACGUAGGGCGCAAGCGUUAUCCGGAAUUAUUGGGCGUAAAGAGCGUGUAGGCGGCCAUUCAGGUCAGCUGUGAAAACUCGAGGCUCAACCUCGAGACGUCGGUUGAAACCGUUUGGCUAGAGUCCGGAAGAGGAGAGUGGAAUUCCCGGUGUAGCGGUGAAAUGCGCAGAUAUCGGGAAGAACACCCGUGGCGAAGGCGGCUCUCUGGGACGGUACUGACGCUGAGACGCGAAAGCGUGGGGAGCGAACAGG
rnacentral:rRNA from 1 species